GAUCUUAAGCCUCUUCAAAAA
rnacentral:sRNA from 1 species